rnacentral:rRNA from 1 species
CUAAGAAUCUUCCGCAAUGGACGAAAGUCUGACGGAGCGACGCCGCGUGGGCGAAGAAGGCCGUGAGGUUGUAAAGCCCUUUUCUACUUGAGGAAUAAGCGUAGGAGGGAAUGCCUGCGUGAUGACGGUAGGGUAGGAAUAAGCCCCGGCUAAUUACGUGCCAGCAGCCGCGGUAACACGUAUGGGGCGAGCGUUGUUCGGAAUUAUAGGGCGUAAAGGGCGCGUAGGCGGAUAUACAAGUCUGGUGUGAAAGACCGCAGCUCAACUGCGGGCACGCGCUGGAAACUGUGUGUCUUGAAUCCUUGAGGGGGAACUGGAAUUCCUGGUGUAGGGGUGAAAUCUGUAGAUAUCAGGAAGAACACCGGUGGCGAAGGCGAGUUCCUGGCAAGUGAUUGACGCUGAGGCGCGAAAGCGUGGGGAGCGAACAGGAUUAGAUACCCCCGUAGUCC